rnacentral:rRNA from 15 species
CGCUGUCUCCAACAUCGACUCAGCGAAAUUGAAUUACCUGUCAAGAUGCAGGUUUCCCGCGGUUAGACGGAAAGACCCCGUGCACCUUUACUACAGCUUCGCACUGGCUUCAGGCACAGCAUGUGCAGGAUAGGUGGUAGGCUUCGAAGCAGGGACGCCAGUCCCUGUGGAGCCUCCCUUGAGAUACCACCCUUGCUCUGCUUGAAGUCUAACCGCGGCCCGUUAUCCGGGUCCGGGACCCUGCGUGGUGGGUAGUUUGACUGGGGCGGUCGCCUCCUAAAGCGUAACGGAGGCGCGCGAAGGUUGGCUCAGAGCGG